rnacentral:rRNA from 1 species
GAUGAACGCUGGCGGCGUGCCUAAUACAUGCAAGUCGAGCGAACAGACGAUGAGCUUGCUCCUCUGACGUUAGCGGCGGACGGGUGAGUAACACGUGGAUAACCUACCUAUAAGACUGGGAUAACUUCGGGAAACCGGAGCUAAUACCGGAUAAUAUAUUGAACCGCAUGGUUCAAUAGUUAAAGACGGUUUUGCUGUCACUUAUAGAUGGAUCCGCGCCGCAUUAGCUAGUUGGUAAGGUAACGGCUUACCAAGGCAACGAUGCGUAGCCGACCUGAGAGGGUGAACGGCCACAAUGGAACUGAGACACGGUCCAGACUCCUACGGGAGGCAGCAGUAGGGAAUCUUCCGCAAUGGGCGAAAGCCUGACGGAGCAACGCCGCGUGAGUGAUGAAGGUCUUCGGAUCGUAAAACUCUGUUAUUAGGGAAGAACAAAUGUGUAAGUAACUAUGCACGUCUUGACGGUACCUAAUCAGAAAGCCACGGCUAACUACGUG